GACUCUUGUUUUGAAAGGCAGAUAAUCGGCGCUGGUGCUAAACAACAAGCAUGUUGGAAAGUAAUAAAUAGUCAAAUUAACCAAUACAGACCGGAUAGAUUUGUUUGUGCUGUGUCUGGAGUGCAUCAUCGACGCGUAAAGAUGUGGAGUGUUGGAUAUUUGUACAGUAAUUCUACCUAAAACCUCUCUGAAUGGGCUGUUUUGUAGCCUAACGCUAGUUAGCUUGGUGGUUUCCGCAGACGUAGCUGCUGCUGACAGGUCGGAGAAGUUUUUAGUAAACAGAGAUUUAACCGGAGAGCUGAAGAUUAGAGGGGAACCCUCAUUCAAACUGCUGAUGGCCAACACAGACUUCCAUCUGCAGUUUCAAGAUUUUGGAGAUGAUGCAGACUUAAUGGCCGGUAGUACCGGAACUACUAGAAUCACCAUUGAUGACCACACCACCAAACCCCAAAAGCAGCGAAGGGUUGCGGGAGUUGCGGAGGAGGACGAGACUGAUCCACUGGAGAGUGAUGACACAGAUAAGCUUCUUUCUGGUCAAAAGAAAAACGCUCCCUUCUGGACAUUUGAGUACUAUCAGACAUUUUUUGAUGUGGACACUAGCCAGGUGAAGGACAGAAUCAUUGGCUCAGUUGUGCCGUGGCCCGGGAAAAACUUUGUUCGCUUCUAUAUCAGAAACAACCCUGACCUCUACGGACCUUUCUGGAUCUGUGCUACGCUCGUUUUCGCCGUCGCCGUCAGUGGAAACAUCUGCAGCUUCCUGGUGAACUACGGUCAGCCUCAGUACAAAUACGUACCCGAGUUCAGGAAAGUAACCAUCGCAGCCACAGCGAUCUUCAGCUACGCCUGGUUUGUUCCACUGGCUGUGUGGGGGUUCCUGAUGUGGAGGAACAGUAAAAUCUCCCAAACAGUGUCCUACUCUUUCCUGGAGAUUGUGUGUGUGUACGGUUACUCGCUCUCCAUCUACAUUCCGGCUGUGGUUUUGUGGAUCAUACCGAGUGAACCGCUGAGAUGGUGCUCCAUCAUUUUGGCUCUUUGCCUGUCUGGAUCUGUGCUGAUUCUGACGUUUUGGCCAGCAAUCCGGGACGACCACCCACGCGUCGUUAUAGCGGUCACUUCAACCAUUGCAGUGCUUCACGUUUUGCUUGCUGUUGGUUGCAAGGCAUAUUUUUUCAGCACCUAUGAGACAACUGAAAAUGCUUCAGGACCAGCCAGUGUUACUAAGGGCUUUUUAACCACCAAGGCACACUGAGCUCCGGCUUUAGGCCUCUUUUUAAAACAUUGGGCCCUCCCCCAACUGCACCAGCCAGGCAUCUGAUUGGUUCUCACAUGACUGGUUCCAGGGCAGUUGCAGGAUCUCUUCUUGCCUCAUUGGUCAGAAUCAAGUUUCCUGCUCAUGAGGUCACAGCUCGUCUGGAUUUCACCAGAUUAGCGGCCCGUGUGCUCAGCUGUGAGUUUAUCACUGGCACCGCUGUGGUUCCUACGUGGCAUCUUUGUCCAUCUGACCUGUGGAAUGUAGAAUAUGCUUCUGAUCUGCUCUUAAAAAUAAAUUGUAAGUGUACUGUUAUGGGCUAGAGUCUGGUAAGGGAUAUAGAACACUGUAUAUAGCGGGGUUUGAAAUAUUUAUGUUAUAAUUGAACCUGAGAUGUCCACCAAAAGGGCCAUUCUUCUGUUUCAGCCAUUUGUGACCUGUACAUACAUUGAAGGACUUUGUGACUCUGUUGGCCAACUUGUAGCACUUGGCACGUGUUUAGUGUGAGGGUAACUGUCUGAGUGCCAAAGUUCACAUUUUAAACUUUUAGUAUAGUCACACUAAUGUGAGUUCUGUAUCAUAGUUCUUUGUUUUGGGAGAGCGAUCGAGCUUAACGAUAUGUGCCUUUACUGAAGACGCAUGUACAUACUAACAAAAAUGGUAAUUAAAGGUUUUAAAGGUUUUCUCUACUUUCCAAUAAACAAUUACGACAUUGUA